UGGAAGUAAUAAGUCGUAACAAGGUCUCCGUUGGUGAACCAGCGGAGGGAUCAUUACCGAGUUUACAACUCCCAAACCCACUGUGAACCUUACCCAUCGUUGCUUCGGCGGGACCGCCCCGGCGCCGGCUCACGGCCCGGAACCAGGCGCCCGCCGGAGGCCCCGAAACGCCCGUUUCUCCAGUUUUCCAGCCUCUGAUUGCAAAACAAAAACAAAUGAAUCAAAACUUUCAACAACGGAUCUCUUGGUUCUGGCAUCGAUGAAGAACGCAGCGAAAUGCGAUAAGUAAUGUGAAUUGCAGAAUUCAGUGAAUCAUCGAAUCUUUGAACGCACAUUGCGCCCGCCAGUAUUCUGGCGGGCAUGCCUGUUCGAGCGUCAUUUCAACCCUCAGGCCCCGCCUGGCGUUGGGGACCCGGCGCACCCGCCGGGCCCCGAAAUCCAUUGGCGGCCGCGCCCCCUCGCCCCAUGCGCAGUAGUCUUGCACCUCGCACCGGAGCGUCGGCGCGGCCACGCCGUAAAACGACCCAACUCCUGAAAGUUGACCUCGGAUCAGGUAGGAAUACCCGCUGAACUUAAGCAUAUCAAUAAGCGGAGGAAC
rnacentral:rRNA from 1 species